rnacentral:rRNA from 1 species
GAACGGGUGAGUAACACGUGGGCAAUCUGCCCUUCACUCUGGGACAAGCCCUGGAAACGGGGUCUAAUACCGGAUACGACCUGCUACCGCAUGGUGGCGGGUGGAAAGCUCCGGCGGUGAAGGAUGAGCCCGCGGCCUAUCAGCUUGUUGGUGAGGUAAUGGCUCACCAAGGCGACGACGGGUAGCCGGCCUGAGAGGGCGACCGGCCACACUGGGACUGAGACACGGCCCAGACUCCUACGGGAGGCAGCAGUGGGGAAUAUUGCACAAUGGGCGAAAGCCUGAUGCAGCGACGCCGCGUGAGGGAUGACGGCCUUCGGGUUGUAAACCUCUUUCAGCAGGGAAGAAGCGAGAGUGACGGUACCUGCAGAAGAAGCGCCGGCUAACUACGUGCCAGCAGCCGCGGUAAUACGUAGGGCGCAAGCGUUGUCCGGAAUUAUUGGGCGUAAAGAGCUCGUAGGCGGCUUGUCACGUCGAUUGUGAAAGCCCGAGGCUUAACCUCGGGUCUGCAGUCGAUACGGGCUAGCUAGAGUGUGGUAGGGGAGAUCGGAAUUCCUGGUGUAGCGGUGAAAUGCGCAGAUAUCAGGAGGAACACCGGUGGCGAAGGCGGAUCUCUGGGCCAUUACUGACGCUGAGGAGCGAAAGCGUGGGGAGCGAACAGGAUUAGAUACCCUGGUAGUCCACGCCGUAAACGGUGGGAACUAGGUGUUGGCGACAUUCCACGUCGUCGGUGCCGCAGCUAACGCAUUAAGUUCCCCGCCUGGGGAGUA